rnacentral:rRNA from 1 species
UACGUAGGGUCCGAGCGUUGUCCGGAAUUAUUGGGCGUAAAGGGCUCGUAGGCGGUUUGUCGCGUCGGGGAGUGAAAACUCAGGGCUCAACCCUGAGCGUGCUUCCGAUACGGGCAGACUAGAGGUAUGCAGGGGAGAACGGAAUUCCUGGUGUAGCGGUGGAAUGCGCAGAUAUCAGGAGGAACACCGGUGGCGAAGGCGGUUCUCUGGGCAUGACCUGACGCUGAGGAGCGAAAGCGUGGGGAGCGAUCCGG